AGAGGGUGCGAACGUUGCUCGGAAUUACUGGGCGUAAAGCGCGUGUAGGCGGGUCGGCAAGUCAGGCGUGAAAUCCCCAGGCUCAACCUGGGAACUGCGCUUGAAACUGCCGGUCUUGAGUGUCGGAGAGGGUGGCGGAAUUCCUGGUGUAGAGGUGAAAUUCGUAGAUAUCAGGAGGAACACCGGUGGCGAAGGCGGCCACCUGGACGACAGCUGACGCUGAGACGCGAAAGCGUGGGGAGCAAACAGGAUUAGAUACCCUGGUAGUCCACGCCGUAAACGAUGGGUGCUAGGUGUCUCGGGUAUUGACCCCUGAGGUGCCGUAGCUAACGCGUUAAGCACCCCGCCUGGGAAGUACGGCCGCAAGGCUA
rnacentral:rRNA from 1 species